GACGAACGCUGGCGGCGUGCUUAACACAUGCAAGUCGAACGGAAAGGCCCUGCUUUUGUGGGGUGCUCGAGUGGCGAACGGGUGAGUAACACGUGAGAAACCUGCCCUUGACUUUGGGAUAACUUCAGGAAACUGGGGCUAAUACCGGAUAGGAGCUCCUGCUGCAUGGUGGGGGUUGGAAAGUUUCGGCGGUUGGGGAUGGACUCGCGGCUUAUCAGCUUGUUGGUGGGGUAGUGGCUUACCAAGGCUUUGACGGGUAGCCGGCCUGAGAGGGUGACCGGCCACAUUGGGACUGAGAUACGGCCCAGUCUCCUACGGGAGGCAGCAGUGGGGAAUAUUGCACAAUGGGCGGAAGCCUGAUGCAGCAACGCCGCGUGCGGGAUGACGGCCUUCGGGUUGUAAACCGCUUUCGCCUGUGACGAAGCGUGAGUGACGGUAAUGGGUAAAGAAGCACCGGCUAACUACGUG
rnacentral:rRNA from 1 species